UUCCCAAAUCCUGCAGAUGAAAACGCAAAAGUUUUUACAUUCGCGGAUGCUCCACACUUAUUAAAGCUAAUACGCAACCAAUUGUUAGACUCGGGCUUGAUUUGGAAAGGUUAAGUUCUAACGACGAAAACAAUUUACGAAAUGCUGCAACACACAAAUAAAUCGGAUGUAUCCAUAACAUUCAAGCUCACUGAUGAGCACAUUUCAGUAAAAGGAAUAGGUAUAUAAAUAUAAACAAACCCACCAACUUAUAAAACCAAACCGAAAUUUCAGGCAGGCAAAAGGUCAAACUAGCAACGCAGAUAUUUUCAAACACCACCGCUAACGCAAUCAGGCGUUGUUACUUGCUUGGGCUUGACCUGCACAUACGGAGACAGCUGAUUUUAUCCAGCUUUAUUUUAUCCAGCGUGUAAACGAUUGGUUUGAUGUGCUCAAUUUCAGUAUGGAUACAUUUGAUUAUCCUGAAAAAUAGGGUUUUUGUAGUUAUACAUUUUUUUUUUAUUAUUUAAUUACUAAAGGAACCUUUCGGAACUGCCCUUUCCAACCAAAAAGAAGUGUUGGCACAAAUGAACGAAUUCAUGUCGUCGCCAGUUGUUCCAUAUAAAAACGGGUUAGAAUAUUUUCAGAAGGGUAUACUGAUGACAAAAAGAGCGCUUGUAUUGCUGUUUGAAUAUCUUAAAAGCAACUCAAAUGUUGAAUAUAUUCUAAUCCAUCGGCUAGAUCAAGAUGUACUCGAUCAUUUGUUUGGAGCCAUCUGUAGCAAAGGAGGCCUCAACGAUCACCCAACCCCUCAGGUGUUCAAAUACAGACUGCGAAAAUACAUCUUAGCACGCAAUCCUGAGCUUUUGCAAAGCACGGCGAACGUUGCGCCCGAUAGAACUAAGUGGCUGAUUCACACGAAAACGCCACAGCUGUCAGCAUCAGAAGACGUUCUCACCACCCUAGUAAAUUACUCCCAGGAACUUGCUACAGAUGAGGACCUGAUGAAAUGGAGCCGGUAAUUGAAGCACUUGCCACAUCACUUGCAGAUGAGGAUCCUGAUGUAGAAAUGGAGCCGGUAAUUGAAGCGCUUGACACAUCACUUACGGAUGAAGAUCCUGAUGUAGAAAUGGAGUUAUUGGAGCCCUUGCCACAUCACAUAAGGACGACUGUGGAAUUCUUCAGGAGGAUGCUCUCAAAUAUAUUUCAGGAACCAUCAUCAAGAAGCUGCAUCUUGAAGAACACGAAAGUACUGAGAAGUGGGUGGAUCAGGUUUCGAAAGGCUUUUUAAAGAAACCGCCACUACAUUUCUUAAACUGCAUAAAAGCUCUGGAGUCGGUAUUUCAUAACAUCAAUAAGCUAGAAAUAUCGCAUUGUAAAAAACUUAAGCAGCGCUUGAUUGAAGAAGUGACGAAGUAGAGCUACCUGAUCACGUCAAACGAUCUUUCUUUAAAUGCACAAUCCAUUUUAGAGUGAAAAGUUUGAAUAAGCGACUUAAAAUUAAAAAAGCAAAAAAGAGGAUAAUGGGUUAUAAAACAUUCAUUUAAUCAAUUAAUUUAGCUAACAUUUUGACUUGCUCUUAUCUUUACAUCUAUUUACUUUGCACAAAUACAGAUCAAGAAGUAACAAAAAACAAUGUGGAUAGAUGUCGAUUUGCGCCUUCCCAUUAAGUGAUGCAUCCACAGUAUUAGCACUACUUUAAUUUUAAGUCCCAUACUAAACGGUUUUUGGAUGCUCUAUCGUAGACCGCAAAUGGACGUGGAUCAGUACGGGUUAAAAUAAGGAAAUUGUAGUUUUAACGUGUUUUUAAAAUGCUAAACGCAUUAAUUGAACUCAUCCUAAACAUGUUGCAAGUGGAAAAUGGUCUCGCGUUUUUUCGAAUGCUGUCCUGUUCCAUUGCUGCAAAUUGCGUUCGUUACACAGAUCUUUAAAUGUUUACUGCUUCACUUCUAGCUCGCAUGCUCCGAUGGUGAAGGAAACACUCAUUAUCAAUGGAAUAUGUAAUGUCUCAAUCUUUUGUCUGCACUCUUACAUGCUGUCUGAUAUGGCGGACGUAAUUGGUUGUCUUUGCCCUACCAAAGCCAAAUAGUGGUGGUUAUGUGACGAAUUCGCAAGAACUGUUGUCGGAUUUAGUACCGCUUUGUUUAUUUAUUUGCAGAACUUCACACGCUUGUACCGAUAAUUUAGCAGCAUACAAUUACAACUAUGCACAUAUAUCUUUUGCAUAUUUAAUGAACUUAACGAAAUUAGCAAAAUGUGUUAAACCCCUAACAAACGAUCAUGUCAACGGAUUCCAGCAUGAAUUUUUAUCAACUCAGCUUUAAGCGACUGACCAUAAUAAUUAGUUUAUUUUAGUAACAAUGGGUUUUGCAAUGUAAAUAUCACGUAUUAGUUCCAUUAAAUUAAUUUAAAAUUUAAACAUAAAAAUACACAUAUUGGAAUCUCUAAUUUUAAAUAAACGAUACCGAAAGAGAAGGUUAUUGUUCUGGUAAUCUUUUCCUAGAAAUUUAGUUGUAUACUUUGAAGCGAAAUAGUCUCACAGUGCCGACAUUGCAUGGUCGCUAAAACCAAUAAAUUUGAUGUAUCUCCCUAUUCAAUAUGCUAGGAUAAACUCGCAUCCAAAGCCAGAAGUAAAAUGGAAUGUAAAACUCACAAAUAAGUUUUACAAAUAUGAAAAAGUGUAACUCAGCUGCACGUCACGUGAAAUCAUAAGCCAUCGAAUCCACUUUUUUAAACGCAUAAUCUGUGUGAGGCAAACGCUUCUUCAGCAAGCUUUCCAGCUUGCGUAUGCGCCCAAGAUCGUCAUCAUCUUCAAUUUCAUUUGAGCCACCGGUAAGGCAGUCAACACUAAAAAUAAAUGCAAGUUUUGGCGUAGAUGUGGCAGCAGCUGUAGGCAGCAUUCUGAUCUUCAUUUCAAACCAAGUCCCCUUGCAUCGCUGCAACACAACUUCCCACAGCUAGUACAUGAGUAUACAAAUAAGUCCGCUGACCCGCUGACUUGAAAAGAAAUCUGAAGGUAUUUAUAGCAAAAAACAAACCAUCGGCAAUUCCUUUAUCACUCACCUUGGAUGUAAAAUGGUUUUUUAAUAGGACACUUUCAAUAGCUCCCUAUCAUUAACUUUGGCAUGUACUACAGUAUAUUUUGCUUAGCUGCACAUCCUUCUUUGCACGAAAAACUUGUGCACUUAACCGAAAA
rnacentral:lncRNA from 1 species